rnacentral:rRNA from 1 species
GACGAACGCUGGCGGCGUGCUUAACACAUGCAAGUCGAACGAAAAGGCCCUGCUUUUGUGGGGUGCUCGAGUGGCGAACGGGUGAGUAACACGUGAGUAACCUGCCCUUGACUUUGGGAUAACUUCAGGAAACUGGGGCUAAUACCGGAUAGGAGCUCCUGCUGCAUGGUGGGGGUUGGAAAGUUUCGGCGGUUGGGGAUGGACUCGCGGCUUAUCAGCUUGUUGGUGGGGUAGUGGCUUACCAAGGCUUUGACGGGUAGCCGGCCUGAGAGGGUGACCGGCCACAUUGGGCCUGAGAUACGGCCCAGACUCCUACGGGAGGCAGCAGUGGGGAAUAUUGCACAAUGGGCGGAAGCCUGAUGCAGCAACGCCGCGUGCGGGAUGACGGCCUUCGGGUUGUAAACCGCUUUCGCCUGUGACGAAGCGUGAGUGACGGUAAUGGGUAAAGAAGCACCGGCUAACUACGUG